CCCACCACUGCAUGGUUCUGUGACCCAUAGGAUCCCUCCCACCCCACCACUCCAUGGUCCUUUAUGUCCCCUCGAACCCAACCACGAUAUGACCCCAUUGCUUUAUGACCUAUAGGAUCCCUUCCAAUCCCCCCAUUCCGUGAUCUUUGAGGUCCCUCCCAACCCCACCACGCUGUGAUCCCAUUGCUCUGAGGUCAUUGAGGUCCCACCAACCCCCCCAUGCUGUGAUCCCAUUGCUCUAUAGCCUAUAGGAUCCCUUCCAAUGCCCCCUAUUCCAUGACUCCAUGAUCCAUUACGUCUCCUCCAACCCAACCAUGCUAUGAUCCUACAGCUCUAUGGUCAUUGAGGUCCCACCAACCCCCCCCCAUGCUCUGAUCCCAUAGUUCUGUGGUCACUGAUGUCCCACCAACCCCACCAAGCUGUGAUCCCAUUGCUCCACAACCUAUAGGAUCCCUUCCAACACCUCCACAACUCCGCAAUCCUUUAUGUCUCCUCCAACCCCCCCAUGCUAUGAUCCUAUAGCUCUAUGGUCAUUGAGGUCCCACCAACCCCCCCAUGCAGUGAUCCCAUUGCUCCACAACCUAUAGGAUCCCUUCCAACACCCCUUAUUCCAUGACUCCAUGAUCCUUUGUCUCCUCCAACCCCCCCAUGCUGUGAUCCCAUCACUCUGUGGUCACUGAGGUCCCAUCAACCCCACUAAGCUGUGAUCCCAUUGCUCCACGACCUAUAGGAUCCCUUCCAACGCCCCCACUUCCAUGAUCCUUUAUGUCUCCUCCAACCCCCCCAUGCCGUGAUCCUAUAGCUCUAUGGUCACUAAGGUCCCACCAACCCCCCCAUGCUGUGAUCCCAUUGCUCCACAGCCUAUAGGAUCCCUUCCAACGCCCCCUAUUCCACGACUCCAUGAUCCUUUACAUCUCCUCCAACCCCCCCCAUGCUGUGAUCCUACAGCUCUAUGGUCAUUGAGGUCCCACCAACCCCCCCAUGCUGUGAUCCCAUCGCUCUGUGGUCAUUGAGGUCCCAUCAACUCCCCCGUGCCGUGAUCCUAUUGCUCCAUGGCCUAUAGGAUCCCUUCC
ensembl:lncRNA